AUGUUAUAUGAAAGGAGAGAAGGCUAGCAUUCCUCUUGAUAGGAACAGAAGAGGUCCUAGUGCCUUCAUAGCAUGCAUAUGGUUAAGGCAUUGCCAAAUACUCCAUGGCAUAUAACCAUGCUUUUAU